rnacentral:rRNA from 1 species
GAUGAACGCUAGCUACAGGCUUAACACAUGCAAGUCGAGGGACCGGCGCACGGGUGAGUAACACGUAUCCAACCUGCCCUUUACUCGGGGAUAGCCUUUCGAAAGAAAGAUUAAUACCCGAUAUAAAGGAUGGGGAUGCGUUCCAUUAGGUUGUUGGUGAGGUAACGGCUCACCAAGCCUUCGAUGGAUAGGGGUUCUGAGAGGAAGGGCCCCGAGAGUGGAACUGGGACACGGUGCAAACGCCUAGUGGAGGCAGGAGUGAGGAAUAUUGGGCAGUGGGCGCUAGCCUGAACCGGCCAAGUAGCGUGAAGGAGGAAGGCUUAUGGGGCGUAGACUGCUGUUAUAUAAGAAGAUGUGUUAUAUGAAUAAGGAUCGGCUAACUCCGUGCCAGCAGCCGCGGUAAUAC